GCGAGCCGGAGCCCUACCUGACGGUGGCGCGGAGUUGAAUACUCCGCGAAGAAGACGGCCACGAAACGCGGUGGGAGGGAGCGGCGGAAGUGGCGUCCGUCCUGACGGGCGCACUAUUCCACCAAGCGCGGGAAACAGGCGGUGGUGCGCAUUGACCGCCCGACUGGGGUGGCGCCGACGGCGAUGGCCAUGGCCUCCCGCGGAAAGCUACUUCCAGCUUUGGAAGAAAGAAAACUCAAAGCGCUCGCACACAUCCGUUUGUCCGGCUCACGGGAGGUUAUCAGCAGUACCGAACCGCAUCAACGGCGACUAGGCGCCAUGUGGAUUCACACUGUCUGGUGCCAUGCCUGUAGAUGGAUUGGGCCACUUGGUCAAAGGGAUCCUGGUUUCUCAAUCUCACGUUUUUAAGAUUCCAAUUGAAUGAAUCUCAGUUCGAUGGAGAAUGCUUGGUGAUCCUCGUUGCAGUGUUUUGACUUUUCUUGUCCAUAUAAAUUCUGUUUAGCCGGAGGUAAGGAUUUUUUUUUUGCGAGGGUAAGUUGCCUGAUUUUAGAAUCUGGGUCAAUCAAUUUGGGGGAGAAGGAAGCAAGAGGCGAGGGCCUCGGUUAGAAACGAACCGUAGCCGACGACAAGUCGACCAAGGUAGGUUUGAAGGUUAACAGUUCGAGGUAUACAAUGGUGGAGACAGGGAGACCAGCAUGGGCCCUGGUCCCCCCUAACAAUAUGGAUGUAGUAUUAAUUUGUUGAUGAACAGUGCAAAAAUCAA